rnacentral:rRNA from 1 species
UUUGAAGUGUGGACGCCAGUCUGCAUGGAGCCGACCUUGAAAUACCACCCUUUAAUGUUUGAUGUUCUAACGUGGACCCGUGAUCCGGGUUGCGGACAGUGUCUGGUGGGUAGUUUGACUGGGGCGGUCUCCUCCUAAAGAGUAACGGAGGAGCACGAAGGUUGGCUAAUCCUGGUCGGACAUCAGGAGGUUAGUGCAAUGGCAUAAGCCAGCUUGACUGCGAGCGUGACGGCGCGAGCAGGUGCGAAAGCAGGUCAUAGUGAUCCGGUGGUUCUGAAUGGAAGGGCCAUCGCUCAACGGAUAAAAGGUACUCCGGGGAUAACAGGCUGAUACCGCCCAAGAGUUCAUAUCGACGGCGGUGUUUGGCACCUCGAUGUCGGCUCAUCACAUCCUGGGGCUGAAGUAGGUCCCAAGGGUAUGGCUGUUCGCCAUUUAAAGUGGUACGCGAGCUGGGUUUAGAACGUCGUGAGACAGUUCGGUCCCUAUCUGCCGUGGGCGCUGGAGAACUGAGGGGGGCUGCUCCUAGUACGAGAGGACCGGAGUGGACGCAUCACUGGUGUUCGGGUUGUCAUGCCAAUGGCACUGCCCGGUAGCUAAAUGCGGAAGAGAUAAGUGCUGAAAGCAUCUAAGCACGAAACUUGCCCCGAGAUGAGUUCUCCCUGAGACUUUAGGUCUCCUGAAGGAACGUUGAAGACGACGACGUUGAUAGGCCGGGUGUGUAAGCGCAGCGAUGCGUUGAGCUAACCGGUACUAAUGAACCGUGAGGCUUAACCUUACA